rnacentral:rRNA from 1 species
GAGUUUGAUCUUGGCUCAGAUUGAACGCUGGCGGCAUGCCUUACACAUGCAAGUCGAACGGUAACAGGUCUUCGGAUGCUGACGAGUGGCGAACGGGUGAGUAAUACAUCGGAACGUGCCCGAUCGUGGGGGGAUAACGAAGCGAAAGCUUUGCUAAUACCGCAUACGAUCUACGGAUGAAAGCAGGGGACCGCAAGGCCUUGCGCGAACGGAGCGGCCGAUGGCAGAUUAGGUAGUUGGUGGGAUAAAAGCUUACCAAGCCGACGAUCUGUAGCUGGUCUGAGAGGACGACCAGCCACACUGGGACUGAGACACGGCCCAGACUCCUACGGGAGGCAGCAGUGGGGAAUUUUGGACAAUGGGCGAAAGCCUGAUCCAGCCAUGCCGCGUGCAGGAUGAAGGCCUCGGUU